rnacentral:tRNA from 1 species
GAGGGUGGCUCGACAGCAGCAAAGAUUGCUAAUCCUCGCCCCCUCGGUUAGACCCCGGGGCUCCCUCG